rnacentral:rRNA from 1 species
AUUGAACGCUGGCGGCAUGCUUUACACAUGCAAGUCGAACGGUAACAGGGUGCUUGCACCGCUGACGAGUGGCGAACGGGUGAGUAAUGCAUCGGAACGUACCCAGUCGUGGGGGAUAACGUAGCGAAAGUUACGCUAAUACCGCAUACGUCCUGAGGGAGAAAGCGGGGGACCGUAAGGCCUCGCGCGAUUGGAGCGGCCGAUGUCGGAUUAGCUAGUUGGUAGGGUAAAGGCCUACCAAGGCGACGAUCCGUAGCGGGUCUGAGAGGAUGAUCCGCCACACUGGGACUGAGACACGGCCCAGACUCCUACGGGAGGCAGCAGUGGGGAAUUUUGGACAAUGGGCGGAAGCCUGAUCCAGCCACGCCGCGUGAGUGAAGAAGGCCUUCGGGUUGUAAAGCUCUUUCAGAUGGAAAGAAAACGUACAGGUUAAUACCUUGUGCGGAUGACGGUACCAUCAGAAGAAGCACCGGCUAACUACGUGCCAGCCGCCGCCGUAAUAC